rnacentral:rRNA from 1 species
UGGGGAAUAUUGCACAAUGGGCGCAAGCCUGAUGCAGCCAUGCCGCGUGUAUGAAGAAGGCCUUCGGGUUGUAAAGUACCUUCAGCGGGGAGGAAGGGAGUAAAGUUAAUACCUUUGCUCAUUGACGUUACCCGCAGAAGAAGCACCGGCUAACUCCGUGCCAGCAGCCGCGGUAAUACGGAGGGUGCAAGCGUUAAUCGGAAUUACUGGGCGUAAAGCGCACGCAGGCGGUUUGUUAAGUCAGAUGUGAAAUCCCCGGGCUCAACCUGGGAACUGCAUCUGAUACUGGCAAGCUUGAGUCUCGUAGAGGGGGGUAGAAUUCCAGGUGUAGCGGUGAAAUGCGUAGAGAUCUGGAGGAAUACCGGUGGCGAAGGCGGCCCCCUGGACGAAGACUGACGCUCAGGUGCGAAAGCGUGGGGAGCAAACAGG